CUACGGGAUGCAGCAGUGAGGAAUAUUGCACAAUGGAGGAAACUCUGAUGCAGCAACGCCGCGUGGAGGAUGACGCAUUUCGGUGUGUAAACUCCUUUUAUAUGUCAAGAAAAUGACGGUAGCAUAUGAAUAAGCUCCGGCUAACUCCGUGCCAGCAGCCGCGGUAAUACGGAGGGUGCAAGCGUUACUCGGAAUCACUGGGCGUAAAGGACGCGUAGGCGGGUUGGAAAGUCAGGUGUGAAAUCCUACAGCUUAACUGUAGAACUGCACUUGAAACUUCUAAUCUAGAGUAUGGGAGGGGGAGAUGGAAUUAGUGGUGUAGGGGUAAAAUCCGUAGAUAUCACUAGGAAUACCUAAAGCGAAGGCGAUCUCCUGGAACAUUACUGACGCUAAGGCGUGAAAGCGUGGGGAGCAAACAGGAUUAGAUACCCUCGUAGUC
rnacentral:rRNA from 1 species